rnacentral:rRNA from 1 species
UACGUAGGGACCGAGCGUUGUCCGGAAUCAUUGGGCGUAAAGAGCGUGUAGGCGGCCACUUAAGUCCUGCGUGAAAUCUUGCGGCUCAACCGCAAGCGGUCGUGGGAAACUGGGUGGCUAGAGUGCGGGAGAGGAGAGUGGAAUUCCUGGUGUAGCGGUGGAAUGCGUAGAGAUCCGGAAGAACACCGGUGGCGAAGGCGGUCUGCUGGGCAGUUGCUGACACUGAGGCGCGAAAGCGUGGGGAGCGAACGAGG